AGAGUUUGAUCCUGGCUCAGGACGAACGCUGGCGGCGUGCCUAAUACAUGCAAGUAGAACGCUGAAGAGAGGAGCUUGCCCUUCUUGGAUGAGUUGCGAACGGGUGAGUAACGCGUAGGUAACCUGCCUUGUAGCGGGGGAUAACUAUUGGAAACGAUAGCUAAUACCGCAUAACAAUGGAUGACACAUGUCAUUUAUUUGAAAGGGGCAAUUGCUCCACUACAAGAUGGACCUGCGUUGUAUUAGCUAGUAGGUGAGGUAAUGGCUCACCUAGGCGACGAUACAUAGCCGACCUGAGAGGGUGAUCGGCCACACUGGGACUGAGACACGGCCCAGACUCCUACGGGAGGCAGCAGUAGGGAAUCUUCGGCAAUGGGGGCAACCCUGACCGAGCAACGCCGCGUGAGUGAAGAAGGUUUUCGGAUCGUAAAGCUCUGUUGUAAGAGAAGAACGUGUGUGAGAGUGGAAAGUUCACACAGUGACGGUAACUUACCAGAAAGGGACGGCUAACUACGUGCCAGCAGCCGCGGU
rnacentral:rRNA from 1 species